AUGAACGCUGGCGGCGUGCCUAAUCCCUGCCAGUCGCGCGAACAGACGAGGAGCUUGCUCCUCUGACGUUAGCGGCGGACGGGUGAGUAGCACGUGGAUAACCUACCUAUAAGACUGGGAUAACUUCGGGAAACCGGAGCUAAUACCGGAUAAUAUAUUGAACCGCCUGGUUCAAUAGUGAAAGACGGUUUUGCUGUCACUUAUAGAUGGAUCCGCGCCGCAUUAGCUAGUUGGUAAGGUAACGGCUUACCAAGGCAACGAUGCGUAGCCGACCUGAGAGGGUGAUCGGCCACACUGGAACUGAGACACGGUCCAGACUCCUACGGGAGGCAGCAGUAGGGAAUCUUCCGCAAUGGGCGAAAGCCUGACGGAGCAACGCCGCGUGAGUGAUGAAGGUCUUCGGAUCGUAAAACUCUGUUAUUAGGGAAGAACAAAUGUGUAAGUAACUAUGCACGUCUUGACGGUACCUAAUCAGAAAGCCACGGCUAACUACGUG
rnacentral:rRNA from 1 species